GUAUUCAGUUGUCCGUCGCUACUCGAGCAGUCAAUUCGAUCACGUUGUGCGCGCGUUAUUCGAAUCGCGUAAUCCUCCGCGAUUCGCAUUUUUUUUCUCUUUACGUUGCUGCUAUUUUUUUCCUUCUGAUUUCAAGUCCAAUGUGCCAUUUUCUAUUAUAGUGCCUUGAUAGAUUUAGGAAUACGACGUGAAGCAACGAAAAUCUUCAUACAAAAAACGAGAAUCAACGAAACAUUCCUUCGAAAGACUUUUUAUUUUCAUUUUUUUACGAACUUUUUUUUUUAAUCUACUAAUUAUAUUUGGUCGAUUUGUGAUUAUCUGGCGAAAAUCACAGAAAGGCUUUAACACACUAUAUAAAAGUGAGCGAGAAUUAAAUGUACUAAACAAGCAAGAUGUCCACUCAAACGUACUAUAAGGACAAAUUGGGUUUCGAUCCGAGGGAGUCCAUCUACCACGAGGCUCCACCACAGAAAUACAGGAAAACCGAGGAGGUACCGCACGGGUACGAGGAGAACCUCACGAAGUUUAAAGGUACUUCCAUUUGGGAUUUAUUUAGAGAGGCUACUUCAGACGAACGAGACGCAGUCCAAAAGAAAACGUUCACGAAAUGGGUCAACAAACAUCUCAAAAAGACUUAUACGUGCCUUCAUGUCUGUGUUUAUAUCAACAAUAGUCCAUGUUGUCCCCCUGCCAAACGCAACAUUCGAGAUCUCUUCGAGGAUCUGCGAGACGGGCACAAUUUAAUCUCCCUCUUGGAAGUACUCACUGGCGAACAACUUCCGAGGGAACGAGGUCAGAUGCGUUUCCAUAUGCUGCACAACAUAGACACCGCCCUGCAUUUUUUACGUUGCAAGAACGUAAAACUAGUCAACAUCAGGUCCGAAGAUAUUGUGGACGGUAACCCUAAGUUAACCCUAGGGUUAAUAUGGACUAUUAUUUUGCACUUCCAGAUCUCGGACAUAAUCGUGGGUCAAGAACCAAACGUUUCGGCCAGAGACUACCUCCUCAGGUGGGCAAAACGAACGACGCACAAAUAUCCGGGAGUACAAGUGCAGGAUUUCACGAAAUCCUGGAGAGAUGGUUUGGCUUUCUCGUCGAUUCUGCAUAGGAACCGGCCCGAUCUUAUUGAUUGGGGUAGGGUUAGGAGCCAGAGGCCCAGGGAACGUCUGGAAACGGUGUUCUUUGUUGCCGAGAAGGAGUAUGGUGUCACCAGGCUCUUGGAUCCAGAAGAUGUUGAUACCCACGAACCCGACGAGAAAUCCCUCAUCACUUACAUCUCAUCGUUGCACGAGGUGUUCCCGGAACCGCCCCCCAUCCACCCCCUUUACGACUCCGUUGCCCAGCAAAAAAUGCAGGAAUACAGGGAGCUCGCGUCUAGUCUUCACAUGUGGAUGAGGGAGAAUUUCAGUCUCAUGCAGGAUCGUAACUUCCCUCCCACUCUAAUUGAAAUGAAAAAACUCGCUACUGAAUCUGCACGAUUCCGUACUGAAGAGAUACCACCCAGACAGAGGGACAAGGGAUACUGCCAUCAGUUGUUUAGGGAUUUGGAGAAGUACUUCAAAACUGUUGGAGAAGUGGAUAUUGAGCCAGAACUCCAUAUCGAGAAUAUCGAGAGGAACUGGCAGAGAUUAAUGAACGCUUAUCAAGAGAGAGACAGGCAUAUUAUCGAAGAAAUUAAACGACUUGAGAAAUUACAAAGAUUAGCAGAAAAAGUUCAUCGCGAAAUAAAACAAACCGACUCACAUUUAGACCAAAUCGAGCAGGCAAUUGAACUCGAAUCGAGACGAAUCGAACGACUCCAUCCGCUAGAAGCGAAAAAAGUGGCCGAUCAGAUCGAUCACGAACUCGUGGUUACCGAAAAGUCAAUUCAGUCACUGAAAUCCGACGUGAACACUUUGAGAAACGGCAGAUACCCCCAGGCUGGCGAGCUGGACAAACGGGUAAACAAACUGCACGACAAGUGGGUGAAAUUGAGGCACAGCCUCCAUAAUAAGAUCGUCGAUCCGUUGGCCAACAUGAGCUUCCCAGUGGAGGAAAGAACCGUAACUAAGCAAAUUAAAACCGUUCAAGAAACCAGAAAUAUUGAGAACAAUCCGCACUUUAGGAGUUUGCAGGAGCAUAUUGACUGGUGCAAAAACAAAUUGAAACAAUUAAAGAAGGCAGACUAUGGAACUGAUUUAUCGUCCGUCCAGCAAGAGCGUGAUAUUCACCAACGUGAACAUAAGACUAUUGAACAGUAUCAUUCCAAAGUAGAGCAAUGCGUGAAAGCUAGACAGUAUUUUAGUGGAGAAGAACUUUCUUUGUAUAAUCAGCAUUUGGGUCAAUUACAAAAGGUUUAUGCUGAGCUACUCUCAUUUAGCACCAAUAGAGCAAACGAUUUGGAGAGCCUGUAUGAUUUUAUUCAAUCCGCUAGCAGAGAGUUACAGUGGCUCAAUGAAAAAGAGGAAAUCGAAGUGACCAGAGACUGGAGCGAUGUGAAAUUGGACGUAGAAGCGGUGGAGAAGUAUUUUGAGCACUUAAUGAGUGACCUAGAAAAACGCGAAAUUCAAUUUAACUCAAUCCUCGAGCGAGGCGAAGCUUUGGUACUCCAAAACCAUCCCGCAACCAAAGCUAUUGAAGCCCAUUUGGCUGCGAUGAACGCACAAUGGGCAUGGUUGCUUCAACUCACCCAUUGCUUAGAGACCCACCUACAAAACACGAGGAUCUAUCAGCAAUUUUUCAAGGACGUACAUGAAGCCGAGGAAUGGAUAAGAGAGAAAGAUGAAAUAAUGAACACGGAGUUUAGUCAGGGUGAGUUUAGUUUAGAUGUUGGCGAGAGGCUUUUGCAAGGUAUGCAAGCCUUACGGGACGAACUAAAUACUUUCGGAGACCAAGUUCAGACGUUGGUGCAGAGGGCGCAAACUGUUGUACCUUUGAAACAGAGGAGGCAGCCUAUUACCAGACCUAUGAGCGUCACUGCCAUUUGUAACUAUAAGAAAAAUGACUUUGCAAUCGAACGCAACAAAGAAUGCACCCUAACAGACAACUCCGGAAGAACAAAAUGGAGAGUUCACAACUCCAAGGGAAUCGAAUGCCAGGUGCCUGGAGUAUGUUUUGUACUCCCACCUCCUGACAAAGAUGCUCUGGAUGCAGUAGAUCGUCUACAGCGCCAAUAUGACCGCUCAAUCGCCUUAUGGCAGAAGAAACAACUAAGAAUGAGACAAAAUAUGAUUUUUGCCACCAUAAAAGUGGUUAAAGGUUGGGACCUACCUCAGUUUAUUGCCAUCGGGGCUGAACAAAGAAACGCCAUAAGAAAAGCUUUGAACGAAGACGCUGAUAAGUUAAUUGCUGAAGGAGAUCCGUCUGAUCCGCAGCUGAGAAGGCUCAGAAGGGAAAUGGACGAAGUAAAUCGCCUAUUUGACGAAUUCGAGAAAAGAGCUCGCGCGGAAGAAGAGAGCAAAAACCAAUCCAAAGUGUUCAACAAUCAAAUCUACAAUUUACAACGUGCCUUAGAUGAAGCGGAAAGAAUAAUCAACCAACGUGUCUUAUCAGGUUUACCGCGCGACGUGGACACCCUACAACAUCUAGUCUUGGAGCAUAAAGAAUUCGAAUCUAGACUUCAAAACCUUGAACCGGAAGUGGAACAGGUCAAGGAUACUUUCCGGUCCAUCACACUAAAAACGCCACAACAUAAAAAAGACUUGGAAAAGGUGUUGGACAAGUGGAACUACAUCUGGAACACUUCCAACCUGUACAUCGAGCGUCUUAAGUGCAUGGAAAUUGUCCUCAAUGGCAUGGAAGAUGCUCAGCAAGUUAUCUCGGAGUUUGAAAGUAAACUUGCCAGCCUCAAGGAGCUUCCCAACACUGAAAAGGGAUUGAAAGCUGUGCACGAUGAUCUUUUGAAGCUGGAGAGCGCAGUGGGUCAGCAACAGAUCGCCAUGGAUCAGCUGAAUGAUGAUUUCGAUAAUGCCAGGAGGUUGACUGAGAAGUCCCGCCCGAACCAACGAGGUCCACAUUCAGACGUGGAAAGGCUGGAUAAGGAUGUGCAAAGAUUAAACAGCAGAUGGGCAAGCGUAUGUCAGCAACUAGCCGACCGCUUAAGAGGAUGUCAGCAGGCGUACGAUUUGUUGCAAAAGUACGGGGAAGCUAAACAAGUGGAAGACAAAUGGUUGGAUGAGCAAUAUGGUAAAUUGGAAGCUUUGCAGCCGAUUAAGGAUAGGGCCAAGGAGCAUUUGGAUGCCACCCGGAACUUGUUGAACAGCGUUGUGGAACGCACCCCCAAGAUAGAACAGGUCAAUUUGAACGGUGGUAGAUUCAUCAGGGAAGGAAAGAUAUGGAGCAAGGGCGUGCAAAAAUUCCGCGACGCCCUUCUCGACGCCAGUCCCUCACUGGAUGCGAGCGACGCGUUCCGGAAACCGGAAAUGACGACGGGCCAAUCCGGCGCCGACGUCGUCAGUAGGGAAUUGGACGAAAUGAACGAUAGAUAUCGUUACUUGAUGGACUUGUUGUAUGGAAGGUUGCAGGAGAUUGCUAAGAUGAAUCCGAACGACAUAGUAACAUUGAGAUUGGUCGAACAAAUGCAACCGCAACCUUUCAGAACGUUCAGGACCGAAUUCCAUAUGAGUAGUGCAAGCGAACACACCUCAACCUAUACCACGACGACACAUUACAGCAAACAGUAUAUUCAAUCAACAAGAACGGAAAAUGGUACGACAAUAAAAAUAUCUGACCAAAAACAUUCAAAACAUAAUUCGGACGAGACAGACCGAAUCACAAACGGCCGUCCUCCAGAUAAGCACACCACUCGUACACAAAUUAUUCAGGAGGUGCCACAAACCUGGGGUACCUCAAUGCAAUUUACAGAAAUUAAAUCUCUUAAGCGGGUGCAUAAAGUAAAUGAAGGUAUCGGCACUGAGCCUAUUAGUGAUAUGGCCGGUAUAAUAAAUCCUUACACUGGAGAACAUAUGACCAUCAAAGAUGCCAUAUUGGAAAGAAUUUUGGAUGUUAGAAGUGGUAGAAUAAUUGCCUCGCCUGAUGGUACUCAGGUGACCAUCGAGGAAGCGAAAAGACGUGGAAUAAUAGAUCCUAAAGUAGCUGACAAAUUACAAAGUCCAUGUGGCAUCAACGAAGAUGGCAGAGAACUGACUCUACUAGAAGCAAUUCAGAAAGACAUCUUUGACGCUGAACACGGUUUCACUGAUGGAAGUGAGAAGCGUCAAAAGGUAACUCAUUCAAUGACGAUAAACCAAGCCAUUGAUGAUGGUAGAGUAGACGUUAAUUCAGGCACAUACAGGCUAGAAACUGGCGAAACCAUUGAUAUACAGGAGGCGUAUAAAAGAGGGUACCUUCUGCAGCACACGGAAGUUAAAUUACAAACGGGUGCUUUAUCUUUAACAGACAUCAUAACCCAAGGUUUGAUCGAUGACGUUACUGGUUGGAUCAUUGAUAGGAAUUCGGGAAAUAAGUAUCAAAUCGAUGCGGCAGCUAAAUGUAACAUUCUCGAGAAUGAUCUUCGUGAAAUUGUCGAUCCUAAAAUUGAUUCUAAAGUUACAGUUAUACAAGCGCUCGAGCGGGGCAUUUUGAAUCCAAAACUCGGAAAAUUCGUUUCGGGUCACGAAAAAUUAUCUUUACUUGAAGCUAAACGGCGGCAGCUUAUCGUAAAACCAAAAACCCUAAAAGAAGUCGUUGACGAUAAUCUUAUUGAUGAUGAAGGUAAAAUCCUUUCUCCCUUACAUCUCUCCAGACUAACUCUUCUUGAAGCAGCUAACCGUGGCGUCUUAGAUGUAGAUCAAAUAAAAUCCAUUCUAGACUUUCGUACCAGUGAUCUUAUAACCUUAAACGAAGCCCUUAAAGAGGGCAUCAUCCUCCCUGAUAGCAAAUUCCGAAAUCUCGUAACAGGUGAAACGCUCGCUAUACAAGAUGCAGUUAGUCGUGGCUAUAUAAUAUCCGUAGUUAGAAAAUCCAUCUUUGAUGUGGAUGGCUUCCAGCCACCAGAUAAGAGCGAUCAUAUAAGUUUCAAUGCGGCUUGCGCUAAAGGUUUUAUCAGUAAAAAACAAAACGGCAGCUUAUUAGUUAAUAAAAAGAGCGGCAAACUUAUUACUUUCGCCGAAGGGGUUCAAACUGGCGAAGUAAAACCUGAGGUAUAUGAAAUGCUCACUCGGAAUAUAGGUAUCUUCGAAAACGAACGUGAGUUAACUGUUUUAGAAGCAGUAUUCAACGGAUACAUAGAUCCAAAAACCGGUAAUCUUCUAGAUAUAAAGACUAGCAAAGUGGUGUACCUGAACGAAGCCAUCGCGCAGCAUCUUAUUACCCCUGAAGGAGCAUCUACGUUAAAUAGUCUUCUAAAUCUAAAUGUUUCCACAAAAGUAACCCGUACUCUAGUGCAGCGCUAUGUCACAGUCACUAGUAAAGACAUUAAGCAAGAGACUAUUACUUACACUGACGCACUGCGCCUUGGACUUAUAAACAAUGAGUUGCAAACAUUUACAGACCCUACUACUAAAGAAACCAUUCCUAUAGUGCAAGCUAUUAGCGAGGGCAAGCUUGCUCCAGAUGUCGAGAGCUCAGAAAUGGUCAUUAGUCCUCAAAAAGCUCCUUGUUCAACUGUGAUAACUAUCGUAAGCAAAAAGGAAACGCCAAUUUAUAGGGAGCAAGUCCAAACUAAGACAGGUGACUUCAUUCUCUCAGAAAAACGAUCUUCUGAAAAGCAGGUCUAUGAGUUACCAAGUGACGGGUGGUCAUUGCAGGACGCCAUUAACCAAAAACUAUUCGACCCUGUCACGGGAUUAUUUAUAAUUCCUGGCACUGACAGAUUGGCUAGCUUUGAAGAAUGCGUUCAAUUAAAACUGAUUAGCUCCCACUCAGCAAUAGUAAUUGAUCCAAUAAGCCAGAGACGAUUAAGUAUCAACAAAGCACUGGGCAAAAAAAUCGUGGACUCCACUGGACACUACAAAAUCGAUGGCAAAAAGCUCACGUUAAAAGAAGCAAUUGAGCAGGGGUAUAUUUUAUUCGAAAACGUUACCCAGAAAGACCAAGCAGCACAGAGACUACUUCAAAUAACCAAAUCAGAAGGAGAACCCCCCAAAGUGGAAGUAUCCACAGUCCUUGACAAGAAUCCCCCUGUAUACACUGAGGUUCAUAUAUCAGAAACUGGCACAACAGAACCUGUGCAGGUUUUGCCAGGAGUCAUUUAUGACCCAUCCACCAACGUAGUUGUUUAUCCCGAAAAGAACGAAGCAUUAGAUCUAAUACAAGCGGUCCAAAAAAAUAAACUGCCUGCAGAGACUGUCAAAGUUACAGAUCCCUUCACGGGCAAAACAAUGGAUAUCAAGGAGGCUAUAAGAAGAAACAUCAUUGACCCAGAAAAAGGACAGUACACAGAUAAAGUUGGCCAAAAAAUGUCUCUUAAAGAUGCCGCAAAGUUUGGAAUAGUUUGCGUUGUAGGAGCUCCUAUAGCAGCUGCCACCUCUCUAGUAAAAACGAUUAAAACCUUACAUAUAGUACAUCCUAAAACUGGCGAAAAACUGCCUGUGGAACAAGCGUUGAAGGAAGGUCUAAUAGACUUGGCGACCUACGAAAAGAUGCAGGCUGAGCUAGACAAUAAAGACAUUCCUGGCACAGGUAGCCAAACCACUCUAACCCUGACACACAGCGUAGUAAAAAUAACAGACCCAAACACCGGCAAGACAUACACAUCACAAGAAGCAUUAGAGCAAGGACUAAUAACGCCUCAACAACUGGAAGAGAUUGAGAAGCAAAAUAAAGAUUCUACAAAAAUCAAGGUUCUUGAUACCACAACCAUUAGUCUGGAUAAUGAUGAUGGCCCCUCAGAGGCAGAAAAGACUAGAGCUCGUAUAACAAUUGAACCAACAUAUAAAGUAAAAAUAGGCAGAGCCCAGUCGUUGAGUCCUGAGAGAGAAGCAAAAAAAGUAGUACUUCAGAAGCUUCGAAGGAGAAUAGUCAGGCCUGAAGAUGCCGAAAAGAAGGGCCUAGUAGAGUCUGAUGCAGCUAUUUUGCUUACUGAUAAAAACACUUUUAUUGGCCCUACGGGCGAAACAUUGACACUUCAAGAAGCUUUGGAAUCUAAAGGAUUAGAUGGCGAUAUGGGUGUUAUUAUAGACCCCCAACGUGGUGAUCAAUUAACUAUUAAUGAAGCCGUAUCACGUGGUAUCCUAGAUCCCGAUAGUUCCAACGAGAUUCUAGUGCCUAUUAAUCGAAGUCUUUCCAUUCCAGAAGUUAUCAAACAAGGACUUAUUGACACAGAGACGCAGAAAGUUAUUCAUCCAGAAACUGGAGCACACCUUAGUAUUAGUGAAGCUAUAGUCUGUGAUAUUGUUGAUCCCUUAAGUACUUUAAGAGAAAAAACUGGCGAUAAAUUAACUUUAGGUGAAGCUCUUGAGUCUGGGGUGGUUGACGAUGAAACGUCUGUAGUGGUCACUAAAGAUGGUAGCAAAAAUCUUCAAGAAGCGGUAGAGGCCCAGGUCUUUGAUGACGUCAAGAUUAAAGGGCCACUAGAUUUACCACCUGCUGGAAUGACUUUACCUGUAGCAAUAAAGCGUGGCUUAGUUGACAUAGAAAAAAAAGAACUAGUUCAUCCAGUUACCAAAGAACCGAUUCCUCUAUCAGAUGCGAUUAAGGACAACUUAAUAAUGACUUUACCAUUCCCAGUUGCUUCUCACGCCGUUAAAAUAGAGAAAGCUUUAGAUUCUAAACUUAUCGACGUUAAUGCUGGUACUUUUAAGGAACCCCAAUCUGGCGAAGUGGUUCCAAUAACAGAAGCAAUAGAAAAAGGUCUUUUAAUAGUGAAAGAACCCACAAGUAUUAUUUCAGAAAGUCCUAGCGCUCCAGUAACUACUGUAACAGAGACGGUUAAUACUAUUCAUACUGUCACCACUAAGACUAUUGAGAUUUUAUCAGGUUAUGCCAUGUUAAACAAAGAUGAAGUGCAAAACAUUGAAACUGGCCAGAUAAUCCCAAUUGAGGAAGCUAAGGCACAAGGCAUUAUAAAGGAUGUCAAGGAAACCAAGAACAAAACAGUUUUCAAAGAUAUUCAUAUGUCAUUCUCCGACGCACUAAAUAAAGGCCUCGUAGAUAUGAAUAAAGGAACAUUUACAGAUCCUCAAUCUGGAGAAUCUAUUACUAUCCAGCAAGCUAUCCAAGAUGGUAAAAUAUCCGCGACGCCUCAAAUAAGUGAGGAAUGCAGAGAGGCGUCUGUGACAACAACGAAAACUAGUGAGCUAAAUAUUUCUGAAGCGUUUGAAACCAUUUACGAUGAAAAAACGCAGAGAUUCAUUGACGUAGCCGGCGAUAAACAAGAAAUCACAUUCCAAGAGGCCUUAAACAAGGAAAUUAUUGAUCCCAAUUCCAUUAUUUAUGACGUUACAUCACAAAAACCAGUAACAAUAGAGCAAGCGGUAGAAAGAGGAUUGAUUGAUAGUAAAACUGGCAAAAUUAAAGAUGAAAAGAGUGGCAAGAGCAUCGAUUUUAAGGAGGCAACAAAGAAAGGUCUUAUUGCUGUUCUUGGAGGCUUAGCUCUACCAGUUGUGGCUCCUGUUGUUGCUGGCGUUGCGGCUGUAAAUGCCGUAAAAGAAUACGCCGAGAAAAAGAAGGCUGAAAAUAAAAUUAGUACCGUAGAAGUUGAUAGUUCCACCGAACUUAUUAAGCACGAAGCAAAAGUACAACUACCUCAACAUAAAACUUCCACUGUCCACAUUAUCACCAAAGAAGAAUCUAUUUCUAGCCCAGAUAUUGUACAAAUAUUACCGAUAGGGGAUGCUAUAUCUCAAAAACUGAUAGAACCUAAAAUAUGUCGCAUAAUAUACGCAAGCAAAGAGCUGCCCUACACCAUUCAGGAUGGUUUAGAUCAAGGUAAAGUAAGUCCACUGGAUGAGGUGCAAGUAAUCACAAACCACAGAGUAAUUCUGAUAGAUGUUCACAAAACAGCCAUCAUAACAAUUUCACGACACUUAACAGCACAAAAACUUUGUGAGCUCGGAUAUUACGAUAUGCGAAAGCGGAUGUUCAUGGAUCCUCAAACUGGAGCUCAUAUUACUUUUGAGGAGUUGGUGUAUGAUUUAGGAGUCAUUGAUCCUGAUACCAUUUUGGUCAAAGAUCUGACCAGUAAGCCUCCUACGUACAUAUCGCUCCAUGAAGCCUUGGAAAAACCAUUGCUUGACAGGCAAACGGGUUACAUGGUAGACCGAAAAACAGGCAAAAAAGUACCGUUCUUUGAAGCUGUGAAGCUUCGCUGGAUAAUUCAUGCGGAUGAUAAACCUAAAGAGAAAUUUAAGCCUCUAACUCUUCAAGAAAUUGCCAAUACUGAUAACUUUGAUCCCGUUAAAGUAGAGGUUAAGACUGACAAAGAAAAUGUGCCUCUUAUUAAAGCUUUAAAUUCCAAUCUAGUUGACCCCAAGUCAGUCACUAUUAGAGACUCCAAAAAUAUGCAACUAGUACCUUAUUAUGAAGCUAUUGAUAAACAGAUUGUAGAUCCACAAAGAGGUCUUGUUUUGAAUACUGCCACACAGAAAAACAUUUCUUUCACUGAAGCUUUUCUUACUGGGCUGGUUCUUGCUAUUCCAAGGCCAAUAUCUUUACAAGCUGUUCUACAUAAAGACAUGUAUGAUACAGAAACCCUUAAGAUCAAAGAUCCCUUAACGAAACAAUAUUUAACAGUAAAAGAAAGUAUUGAAAGACAUAUUGUGGAUGACAAGAUUAGUGAGAUCAAAGAUGUUCAGGAAAAUACUUAUAUAACACUGGAGGAUGCUAUUUCAAAAAAUAUUAUAGAAUCUGGGCAGAUUAAGAACACAAAGUCGGGUCAGCUGGUGCCUCUUGAUCAAGCUCUGGAUCAACAAAUGAUUAGAACUAAAUCGUUAGUGUUUAACUUGCUUCAAGUCAUCUUAGCUAAUUACUAUUCUCCCCAAACUGGCCUGAUACUGAACCCUAUUACUGGGGAUGAAAUUACCUUGGCGAAAGCUAUUGAGUAUAAACUGGUAGAUCCAGUGACAACAAGAAUCAAGGAUGAUAGACGCAGCAGAAUCGUUGAAAUACAUGAAGCCAUUGAACAGAAACUCAUAGAUUCCGAAAAGGGGCUUCUAACUAACCCUCCUUUAACUUUAGAUCAGGCUUAUUUGAAAGGCUAUAUCCUAAGUACAGUUUUACCCUGGUCAUUGCAAGAAACUUUGGCCCAAAAUGUAUAUGAUUCCACAACUGGCCAAAUUAUAUUUAAUGACUCAAAUGUUACAAUCAGUCAAGCUAUUGAAGGAGGUAUUGUGAAUCCCAAUGUACUAACAGUGAAGGAUCCUAAGUCCGGAGACAUUAUCACUCUAAAUGAGGCUAUUAAAGCUAAGUUGAUUGACCCUAUAAAGGGGCAAGCCUAUGAUCCAACAACGAACGUAGAGAUGAAUCUAGUUGAGGCGCAAGAACGAGGAUUGAUAGUACCUUAUAAAACUCAAAUAACUCUACCGGAAGCAGUUUUCAAAGGCUUUUACGAUCCAGCCACUGGUAAAUUCAUUAAUCCGAAAAACAAAGAACGGCUGAAAGCCUCGAGUGCUAUCAACAGAGGUUACGUAGAUGCUUCUGGAACUCUUGUUACAAUUGAUGAAGAGGUUGUUACUUUUGAACAAGCAGUUUCCGAUGGCAUAAUUGACACGAACGAGGGUAUUAUUAUGAGUUACAAUGAGCCAGUUGAUUUCAAUGAGGCAUUUGAGCGUGGCUUGUUGGUAGAAAUCCGACCUCCGGUACCUUUAAGUGAGGCUAUAGUCAAAGGACUUUAUGACGAAGAAUCUCAGCUGUUCUUGGAUCCGCAGACUGGGCAAUACUUGACACUAAUCGAGGCAAUUGAAAUUUGUUUGAUUGACGCAGAAUCUGUUAGCGUUAAAGAUACUAGAGUGGGAAUUUGGAGGAAGAUACCACUGAUUGAUGCGAUACACAACAACUAUAUUGAUGGUAACACUGGACAAGUUAAAGAUUUCUCUAAAGGGGAAGGUUAUGAAGUGUCUUUGCAAAAGGCUUUUGAUUUGGGGAUAUUAGUAGAUAAUAAGGCUGCAUUGACAUUGCAGAGAGCCAUUCAUCAAGGAUUGUAUGAUGAAAAUACUGGUAAAAUUCUUGAUCCUUCGACUGACAGAAAAGUGACACUGCAUGAAGCUAUAAGGAACUUUAAUAUUAAUCCUCUGCUUCCUUGUUACUUUGAUAGACAUCAGGGAAUGCUGUACAACUUAAGUGAGACAUGUAGAUUGGGUAUUAUUGAUAAAAGAAAUGGGACAUUUAAAGAUCCCAACACUGAUAAGGUUUUGAAACUGUCAGAGGCUUUAAAUCAGGGAUUAAUGGUUGACAUUGAAACUGCUAACUUUGGUUUAUCUGAGGCUUUGGAAAUGGGAUUUUAUAUUCCUGAAGAAGGUUUGUUUGUACAUCCAUCCACUGGAAGAAAGUAUAACUUAAAAGAAGCUAUUGAAAACGAGUUAAUUAAUCCAGUUAAUUCCAUAGUGAAGAACAGUAAACUAAAUAAAUAUGUGCAGCUGACAGUAGCAAUUGAAACUAAAAUCAUAGAUGAGCAGCUAAGUAUUUAUGUAUACCCUCAUGGAAAAACUAUAAAUUUGUUGGAAGCAAAGAACAAGGGGUUAGUAGUGACUGGAAGAACACCUAUAACAUUAGAGGAAGCGUUACAUAAUUGUCUUUAUAGGCCAGAGAGUGGCAAAAUUGCUGAUCCUAUGAAUAACGAGUUUUAUGAUCUCCGGCAAGCUUUGGCAAAUAAUUUUAUUGAUUCCCAUAGCACUGCUUUCAAAGAUCUUGUAAGUAAUACGACGAAGCCCUUGCCACUCGCAAUAGAAGAGGGACGCAUUGACGUAGAUAAAGGAAGAGUUCUAGACUCGAAGUCGAAAAAAACUUAUAACUUUGACGAAGCGUUUAAAAAAGGAAUUCUAGUGACUUUGAGGAAACCUUUUGAAGUGGACUUCGUGCAGGCUUCUGCAGCUCAAUCAGCUGCUUCACCCACUAGGCAGCUACGCGAAUGUUCUCUAGAUGAAGCUGUUAAAUUCGAAUUACUUAAUCCAGAAGUUUCGGUUGUUAGGGACUUACAAACGGGCAAUUUUAAAUCGGUGGCUGAUGCCCUCAAAGACGGUCAACUUGAGGUUACUAAAACCAUUAUAUUUGACGUGCAAUCGGGUAAAAUCAAAUCUCUGAUAGUAACUUAUGAUCAAUCGGUAAUCAUUUUCUUGAAAGAACCUUUGUCGUUUAAGCAAGCAAUUGAUAUGGGGUAUUUGGAUAUCAAUACUGGUAAGUUCAAGGUGCCUGAUAGUGAAGAUGAAAUAACUUUUAAAGAGUCGAUCACCCUUGGGUUUAUUGAUCCUGAUAGUGCUUUAAUAAAAGACGUGAGUAAAAAGAAACUUAUUAAGCUUCCCGAAGGCUUCAGAAAGGGCCUGAUUGACGCCGAAAAGGGCAACGUAUUAGACAGCUCCACCUCUAAACUAUAUACUCUAUCGGCAGCUCUCGAUAGUGGUCUCUUGGUUACCACUCAAAGUGGUUUCACAUUGAUAGAAAGCGUUACUUAUGGUAUCUAUAAUCCAACUACGGGAUGUUUCAACGAUCCGUUUGUUACCACUAACAUAAUCGAUAGAAAGAAACUGACCCUUACAGAGGCAGUCGCACAAAAUUUAAUAGACCCCAGUUCCACCGUAGUAAAAGAUCUUGAAAAGGGUGUAAUAAUGCCUUUGCUACAAGGAGUUGAAAGUGGUAUAGUAGACGCGCAAGUGGGUCGAGUUCGCGACGUAACUGAGAAAAAGGAUUACGAUUUCGCGAAAGCCCUUGAAAAGGGGUUGAUUUUGCCCGCUGAACAAAGGCAAGCUGUUGAAGAAAAAUACAAACUUUGCGACGAGACUCUCUCAAAACUCCUUCAUUGGAUCGGAGAAGUGGAGGACCGUAUCGCUUCCCAAGACGUUAUCCAUGAAGUUGAAGAAGAUCUUCGUAACCAAAUCAACAUCAUGAAGCAAAUCAGAGACGAUUUAGAACAACAUGCCGGCCAAGUUUCACAUUGUGGCGAUCAAGUUAGGCAGUUGGUGCUCACCGCGGGAGAUAUUUUAUCGAAAAGCGAGGUGUCUGCUUUGGAAAAGAGCGGCCGAAACUUGAAAACUCGCUUUGACAAAGCUAUUGAUAAAACUGAGAAGUUACUGAGACGUCAACUGGCUGCCAGAGACGAACUUGGUAAGCUUAAAGGAGAACUGAACAUAUUCUCUACGUGGUUGGGCAAGGCCAGAAGAACCCUUGAAGAUAAGGAGAGAGCCCUGAGUGAUUUACAAAGGCUCGAUGCCAGCACGGAUAGCACAAGGGAGUUUGUUAGCGAUGUUAUCGCCCAUCAGGCUGAUUUAAGAUUUAUCACCAUGUCCGCACAGAAGUUUGUUGAUGAAGGAAAGGAAUACUUGAUAAUCCUGAACGACUUCCGUACCUCCUUACCAUCCAGACUACCACACAUUGAGCCGAUUUCUUCUCAAGAUUCUCCAGUGCGUAGCGAAGUUUCUCUAGUUACCCAACAGUACAGAGAUUUGCUACACAGAGCCAAUAAUCUUUCUGAUAGAUUAUCAGGCGUUGGUGGACGUCAAAGGGACUAUUCUGAUGCUUUGGAUAAAGCCAGGUCCUGGCUUCGUGACGCCGAACCUAGAGCCAAUAAGUUAUUGAACGAGCCAAUCGGAGGUGAUCCCAAGACUGUUGAAGAUCAACUGCAUAAGGCAAAAUCAUUGAAUAAUGAAUUUGUUGCUAAUGGAAAGCUUAUUGAUAAUGCCAAAGACGCCACAUCUGCCUUGGUACGAUCCCUAGAAGGGCAAAUUUCCCCAUCAGAAAUUCAUCGUUUAGAAGAACCCGUUCAGAAUAUCGAAAACAAAUACAACCAACUAAGUGGUGCCAUUGCAAAUAGAUGCCAAGAAUUAGACACCGCACUGAUCCAGUCCCAAGGAGUCCAAGACGCUUUGGAUGGUAUCAUUGACUGGUUAAACCAGGCCGAAAACCAAUUCAAAAACAUGCAGAGACCCGCUUCUCUGAUUCAAGAAAGACUUGACGAACAACUAAGAGAGCAUAGGGUGUUCCAAUCAGAUAUAGAUACCCAUAUUUCCUCCAUCGACUCUGUCUAUUUGUCUGCUAAUGAGCUGAUUGUGUCUACCAGUAACGCUCGUGUAGCCAAGCAAAUUGAAGGCAAACUAAACGACGUGAAGAACCGCUUCGAAAAGCUCUUUGACAGAGUGCAAAACCGCGGAGUUUUACUUGCCGAAGUCAAUAGAGAUUUGGUGGCAUUUAACAACCAAGCUGCUAAGUUCGAAAAGUGGUACAGUGAAAUCAUGGAAAUAAUCGAGUCUCGAGAGCUCGCCAAGGCACCGGCUGAACAAUACGCUCUUCAAAUGAAGGAAAUCUCGAGAAACCGCGAUGACAACAGAGCGUUAUUCGAAGAAGUUGUUGGCAUCGGCAAGGAAUUGCUUAAUAAACGUGACGUAACUGAUACCAGCAAUGUGAGAGAUCGCGUAAAGAGUAUGGAGAGUCAGUGGAGAGAUCUCGAGAAUCUCAUGGAAGAAAAAACUAAACUGUCCAAACUAAGAGCCGAACAGCAUAGCGCCUACGAAACCUUAAAAGAGCAAGUAUUAGACUGGCUUACCACAAUGGAAACUAAAGUGGCUCGUCUGGAUAUUGUUGCUAUCCACUUAGACACUUUAAGACAACAGAAUGAUGAACUGAAACCCAUAACUUCAGAAUAUAAAGGAUACUCAUCAGUAAUUGACAAGAUCAAUGACAUUGGAACUGCUUAUGACAAUCUUAGCAGAGGAGACAGGCCAGAUUCACCCUCAAGGCGUAAAGGUUAUAGUCCCACCAAGCGGCCAAUGUCUGGACGUAGAUCAUCCCAAGACGCCCGAUCUCCUUCACCAACCAAAGGACUCAGUCCUCUUUCUACCGGCGGAUCAAGUGGAUUCUCCUCAAGACGUUCAAGUCAAGAUGGAUUCCAUUUGGAAGAACUGUCCCCGGUUCAACAACAACUCUCUGAAAUCAAUAAUAGAUAUUCAUUUUUGGGUGUAAAGAUUAAUGAUAGACAAUCGGAGAUUGAUUCGAUACGUGAUGAGCUGAAGAAGCAACUGGAUAAUCUGAAGACUUUAAGCUCCUUCCUUGAAAAGAUCCACAGGCAAAUGCCUAAGGACAGCGUUCCAAAUACUAAAGAAGAAGCUGAUAAGCUAAAUAAACAAAUUAAGCAUGUGCUUGAAGAGAUGUAUGAGAAACAAUCACUUUUGGACACCACCACCAGCCAAGUUAGAGAUCUGUUAAAGCGCAAGGCUGGUGCUAUAGGAGCAGAUAACCUAAAUGACGAACUAGAAGAAGUACUGUCCCACUGGAAGAGUAUCAAUGACUACUUAAAAAAUCGCAUUAAAUUUAUGGAAGACAUGAAAGAAUUCCACGAUACACAUGACUCAUUAAACUCUUGGUUGGGUGCUAAAGAGCGUAUGCUCACAGUCCUUGGUCCAAUUUCAAGUGACUCCAGAAUGGUCCAAUCUCAAGUUCAACAAGUACAAGUGCUUCGCGAAGAGUUUAGGUCACAACAGCCCCAGUUACAGCAUCUCUUAGAUGUAGGGGAUGAUGUAUUAUCAUAUUUGGAACCGCGCUCCAGUGACCAUCAAAAGAUCGAUAAUAAGCUCACGGCAAUUCAACAAAAAUGGGCUGAUAUUCUUGGAAAAUUGGAUGAACGCGCUGAUUCCUUGGGAGCGGCAGCUGACACCAGUAGAGAAUUUGAUGCUCAAUUGACGCGACUUAAAGAUGCUUUACAAGGCAUCUCUGAUAAUUUGGAUGAAGUUUCUUUCGAAAAAGACCCAGAGGAGCAACUGCGAAAAGUAGAAAACCUGGAGCGUCAACUGGAAGGACAAAGACCUCUUCUUGCAGACCUGGAAGCAAAUGGUGCCCAAUUAUGCGAAGUGCUCAGCGACCCAGCAUCUAGAGCCGACAUACAGAGCAAGCUGGCAUCCAUAGGACGUCAGUACAACGCUUUGCAAAAGAAAUUAGACCUUAAGAAGGCUGAAAUUGAAGGAUCUCUUCGUGAUGGACGUCAGUUCGAAGCCUCAUGUGCUAAAACCCUCGGUUGGCUUUCGGAUGAGCUCGGAUCUUUAACCGAAAGACUUUUAAUCUCUGCAGAUAGAGAUGUUCUUGAGCAACAACUUGUUAAUCACGAACCUAUCUAUAGGGAUGUCCUUGCAAGAGAACACGAAGUGAUAAUGUUACUCAACAAAGGCCGAGAAAUGGUGUCAAGGUCGACCAAGGCCGACACUAGAGCAGUGCAACGAGAUUUGGACAAAAUCCAACAAUCUUGGGAAAAAUUGCGUAAAGAAGCUGUAGACCGACAGACACGUCUUAAGACAUGCCAAGAACACUGCCGCAAGUAUUACACUACCCUAGAAUCUUUCCUGCCCUGGCUAAGACAAGCUGAGGAUAAAAUUGACUCUUUAAGACUACAAUCGUUUGAAAAGAAACACAUUGAAAAACAACUUAGGGAACUGCAAGCUUUUAGAAAUGAAGUAUGGAAAAAGAGUGGUGAAUACGAAAAUACCCGCUCACUUGGAGAAACGUUUUUGUCUUCGUGUGAUAUUGACAAAGAAAUUGUAAAGAACGAGUUGCAAGAACUUAAAGAACGCUGGGACAAACUUAACAAUGACCUUAUCCUAAGAACCCAAGCUUUAGAAGAUCAAUCUAGAAAACUAGGAGACUUCAACGAAAAUUUGAGGGAUCUCAAACACGGUCUUGAAAGAUGCGAGGAUAAACUGGCAUCGCAUGACGCCUUAGGAGGUGCAUCCAGAGAUCCCAAACUCCUAGACCGAAUUAAGGCUUUAAGGGAAGAAACCGCCGGAUUAAAGAAACCAUUGCAAGCUCUUAAAAAUCAAGCUGAAGAUCUAUGCCACGAAGCUGCCGAGAACGGUAUUGAUGCUAACCAACUGAAAGACGACGUUGACAGCAUUGGAGACCGCAUUAAUGAUUUACAAAGCAAAUUAAACGACAGAUGCUUAGAUCUUCAAUCUGCUGCAACAGCCGUUACCCAGUUUAAUGAUAAAGUUAAAGGACUUUCACAUGAUCUUUCUGCCUUGGAGACUGAACUUGAUAACAUGAAAGCUCCUGGACGCGACAUUAAGACUGUGCGAGGACAACUCGAUGAUGUGGCCAGGUUUAUUAGCAAAGUGGCCAAAGCUCAUAACGAUGUCGAAGAUACUAUAUUAGCCGGAGAACGUCUUGUUGAUAGCGGAUUUGCUCCGGACACCGCUCAGACACGCCAACAAGUUGAUGCAUUGAAGAGACAACUUGGAAAGUUGGAUGAUCGUGCGCAUAACAGAGAACAGGAGCUAGAGUCUGCUCUUAAAAAGCUAGAAGACUUCUACAUCGGUCACGCUGAAGUCUUAGAUGGAGUCAAAGAAGCUUCUGAACAACUGCGCAAGCUUAAACCCAUUGGUUCAGACGUAGAGGGUAUUAGAGCUCAACAAAAAGAUUUUAAGAAGUUCAGAGCAUCCACUGUGGAACCAUUAAAUAAGAGUGUAGAAACAUGCAACAGAUUUGGCCAAGGACUCAUUCAAUCAGCAGCAUCCGGUGUCAACACUCAGAUCCUCGAAAAAGAUUUAGAAAAAAUGAACGAUCAGUGGAACACCUUAAAAGAAAAAAUUAACGAUCGCGAACGUAAACUUGACAUUGCCUUACUUCAAUCAGGCAAAUUCCAAGAAGCCCUCGAUGGGUUAUCAAAAUGGUUGGCUGAUACUGAAGAGCUUGUAGCAAAUCAAAAAGCUCCUUCGGCUGAUUACAAGGUAGUUAAGGCACAGUUGCAAGAGCAAAAAUUCUUGAAAAAGAUGCUCUUGGACCGUCAGAAUUCCAUGUCGUCUCUGUUUACUAUGGGCAAUGAGAUCGCUAAAGAAGCUGAACCGUCUGAGCGUAAGGCUAUUGAGAAACAAUUAAAAGAUCUUAUUGGGCGUUUUGACGCCUUAACAGAAGGAGCUCAACAACGCACCUUGGAUUUAGAGCAUGCAAUGAAAGUUGCCAAGGAAUUCCAAGACAAGCUGACUCCAUUACAAGAUUGGUUGGAACGAAGCGAAAAGAAGGUUAGAGACAUGGAACUCAUACCCACUGAUGAAGAAAAGAUUCAGCAGAGGAUUAAGGAGCAUACAGCUCUUCACAAUGACAUUUUAAGCAAAAAACCUGACUUUAGAGACCUUGCUGACGUCGCCUCUAAUUUGAUGAACCUGGUUGGUGAUGAUGAGGCCGCCACUCUGGCCGAUAAGUUAACUGAAGUAACUGACAGAUAUGGCAAUUUGGUAGACGCUAGCGAGAAUAUUAGGCAACUACUUGAGGCAUCAAGAAAAGGCCUUAGGACAUUGGUCCUAACUUACCAAGACUUAGCUGGGUGGAUGGAUGCCAUGGAACAGAGGUUGGCUCGUUACAAAGUCCUAGCUGUCCAUACAGAUCGUUUGUUAGAACAAAUGGAUGAUCUUGUCGGCCUUACAGAAGAUAUCGUUGGACGUCAAAAAGAUAUUGAUGAUACAGUUGAUGCUGGUAUUGAACUAAUGAGGCACAUAUCAUCUGACGAAGCGUUGCAACUUAAAGAUAAACUCGAUUCGCUGCAGAGGCGUUAUAAUGAUCUUACUUCACGUGGAAACGACUUGCUUAAGAACGCACAAGCGUUGCUGCCAUUGGUGCAGAAGUUCCAUAAUAAUCACAAUCGUUUGGUGGAAUGGAUGCAGGGUGCCGAAUCUAUUUUACAGUCUGCAGAGCCAAACGAGGGAGAAAUCGCUCGAUUGGAAGUAGACCUGCAAGAACUAAGACCUGUGCUUGAAACUAUUAACGUGCUUGGGCCACAACUUUGCCAAGCCAGUCCGGGAGAAGGUGCCGCAACUAUUGAAGGCCUAGUAUCCAGAGACAAUAGAAGAUUUGAUGCUAUUGCUGAACAGAUUCAACGCAGAGCUGAGAGGAUCCAUCUGGGAAAACAACGUGCCUUGGAAGUUACCGGAGAUAUUGACGAGCUCCUAGAAUGGUUCCGAGAGGUUGAAGCCCAAAUAAAAGAUGCGGAAAAACCGUCAGCUGAACCCGAUUUGAUUCGUGUGCAACUUAAGGAGCACAAGGCUCUGAAUGAUGAUAUUUCCAGUCAAAAGGGUAGGGUACGUGAUGUGCUUUCCACCGCAAAGAAGGUGCUGAGAGAGAGCCCGCCAAGCGAAGACACUUCACUAAUCAGAGAAAAGAUGGAAGAUCUUAGAGAAGCUAUGGAUAACGUAUCCGCAUUGAGCUCUGAUAGGUUGGGAAUCUUAGAGCAAGCCCUGCCGUUAGCGGAACACUUCAACGAUACCCAUAUUGGCCUCUUAAAUUGGCUAGGCGAUAUCGAGCAGGAAGUAUCCAUGCUUACGAUGCCCGCUUUGAGACCUGAAGCGAUCCAGCAACAGCAGGAUAAAAACGAAAUGCUUGUUAAGAGCAUUCACGAACAUAAACCCUUGGUAGAUAAGCUAAAUAAGACCGGGGAGGCUUUGAUAAGACUUUGCAAUGAAGAUGAUGGAUCUAAGGUGCAAGAGAUUCUCGACAGCGAUAACGCAAGAUACGCUGCCCUUAAAUUAGAGCUUAGAGAAAGAGAACGUGCUUUAGAGCAAGCCAUGCAAGAAAGCUCGCAAUUCUCCGAUAAACUCGAGGGAAUGUUAAGGGCUUUAACAAAUACUGCCGAUCAAGUAAACAACCAAGAGCCAAUUUCCGCUCACGUUCCAAAGAUUCGCGAUCAGAUUGACGAUAAUGAUGCUAUUGUGAGCGACUUGAACAAGAGAAAAGAGGCUUACGCAGCGGUCCAACGUGCUGCCGAUGAUGUGAUCACUAAGGCCGGCAACAGAGCCGAUCCAGCCGUUAAGGAUAUCAGACACAAGCUGGAUAGACUGAAGAAGCUUUGGGACGAUGUCCAGAGGGCUACGAAAGACAGAGGUCACUCUCUGGAUGACGCUUUGGAUGCAGCCCAGAAGUUCUGGAAGGAGUUGCAUGCUAUCAUGGCUACCUUGAAAGAUCUCGAAGACUCGUUGGUAAGCCAGGAGCCUCCUGCGGUGGAGCCUAAAGCGAUUCAGGAACAACAAGUGGCAUUACAAGAGAUCAGACAGGAAAUCGAUCAAACUAAGCCGGAAGUGGAUCAGGUGAGGAGUUCCGGGAAGAAGCUGAUGAAGCUCUGUGGGGAACCCGAUAAGCCUGAAGUGAAGAAGCAUAUUGAAGACUUGGAUAAUGCGUGGGAUAAUAUUACAGCCUUGUAUGCCAAGAGGGAGGAAAAUCUGAUUGAUGCUAUGGAGAAAGCUAUGGAAUUCCAUGAAACUUUACAGGACAUUUUGGCCUUCUUAGAUAAAGCAGAGAAGAAAUUUGAUAAAAUGGGACCACUGGGCGCUGACAUUGACGCUGUAAAGCGUCAGAUCGACCAACUUAAGGCCUUUAAGGCAGAAGUUGAUCCACAUAUGGUCAAAGUUGAAGCUCUUAAUAGGAGUUUGAUAAGGCAAGCCCAAGAACUCACCGAGCGCACCUCGGCCGACCAAGCGGCCUCAAUAAAGGAACCGCUCUCAACCGUCAAUAGACGCUGGGACGACCUUUUACGCGGCAUGGUUGAAAGACAGAGACAAUUAGAAAACGCACUACUACGUCUCGGCCAAUUCCAACAUGCGCUCAACGAGCUGCUGGUUUGGAUUUCCAAGACCGACAAGACGUUGGACGAACUUAAACCUGUCGCAGGAGAUGCACAAACUUUAGAAAUUGAACUUGCCAAGUUGAAGGUUCUAAUCAAUGAUAUACAAGCACAUCAGACCAGUGUUGACACCUUAAAUGAUGCGGGAAGGCAGAUCAUUGAGAGUGGAGAAGACCGUCAUGAAGCUUCAGCGACUCAAGAGAAGCUAAACACAUUAAAUACUCAAUGGCGCGCACUAGUUCAAAAAGCAGCUGAUCGUCAGAGAGAGCUUGAAGAUGCCUUGAGUGAAGCUCACAGCUUCAACCAAGAAGUCCAAGAUCUACUGGCAUGGCUUGGUGAUGUCGAUAACGCUGUGGCUGCCUCUAAACCAGUUGGAGGACUACCAGAAACCGCCUCAGAACAACUUGAGCGAUUCAUGGAGGUCUAUAAUGAAAUUGAAGAUAAUCGUCCUAAAGUGGAAACCGUACUGGCUCAGGGACAAGAGUAUUUGAAGAAAGCACCAGCGAAUUCCGCUUCUAACUUGCAGCACAACUUAAGAACGUUAAAGCAACGUUGGGAUUCCGUCACCGCACGUGCCAAUGAUAAGAAGAUUAAGUUGGAAAUAGCCCUUAAGGAAGCAACGGAAUUCCACGAAUCAUUACAAGCAUUUGUUGAUUGGUUAACUAACGCCGAAAAGAUUUUGACUAAUCUCAAACCUGUGUCAAGAGUAUUGGAUACUGUGCAACAUCAAAUUGAGGAACACAAAAUAUUCCAAAAGGAUGUAAGUGCUCACAGGGAAAUUAUGCUAGCAUUAGACAAAAAGGGUACCCACUUAAAAUACUUCAGCCAAAAACAAGAUGUUAUUCUGAUAAAGAACUUGUUAAUCAGCGUGCAACAUCGUUGGGAACGAGUGGCGUCUAAAUCUGCCGAACGAACCAGGGCGCUAGACUUGGGUUACAAAGAAGCCAAGGAGUUCCACGAUUCUUGGGCUGGUUUAAUGAACUGGCUUGAGGACACCGAACAAAAUCUGGAAGAUCUUAUGAACGACACAGCUGGCAACGAUCCAGAGAAGAUCAAAGCACGGCUGGCCAAACACACAGAGUUCCAAAGAGCUUUAAGCGGCAAACAAGCCACUUACGACGCUGUCAUGAAAAGUGGCAAAAACCUAAAAGAUAAGGCGCCCAAGUUCGAUGAAAACACUUUGAAACAGAUGCUGCAAGACCUAAAGAACAAAUGGACAAGUGUGUGCAAUAAGAGCCGCGAGAGGCAACAGAAACUGGAAGAAGCUCUGCUCUAUUCUGGCCAGUUUAAGGAUGCCGUGGCCGCACUGCUGGAAUGGCUAAAGAAAGCCGAAAAGGAGUUAUCACAGGACAGUCCAGUGCACGGAGAUUUAGAUACUGUCACUCAUUUGAUUGAUAUUCAUAGACAGUUCGAGAAGGAACUUGAGCAGCGUAACGAUCAAAUGGAGUCCGUUAUGCGCAGCGGUCAAGAACUAGAAAGGACCGCUAGUAAACAAGAUGCGGCCCAUAUAAGACAUCAACUAACAGACCUCACUCAACUAUGGGAAUCUGUUACUGGAUUAACCCAUUUGAAAACUGAUCGUUUGCAUGACGCCCUCAAGGAAGCUGAGAAGCUUCAUAAGUCAGUAAACAUGAUCUUGGACUGGCUAAGCGAUGCUGAGAUGAAACUUCGCUUUGUUGGCAACGCACCUGAAGACGAAUCGGCCGCCUACGAACAACUGAAAGCGCUCGAUGAAUUCAGGGCCCAACUUAACGAAAAAGAAAUCGAAAAAGACCAAACCUUAAACUUAGCUCAUAAUAUUUUGGCUAAAGCCCAUCCAGAUUCCAUCAACGUAAUCAAAAACUGGAUUAAAGUGAUAAAAUCGCGAUGGGAAGAGGUGUCGCAGUGGGCGUUGCAGCGUCAUCAAAAGAUCUCCGCGCAUAUGCAGUCGUUGCGCGAUAUGGACGAGACCUUGGAGGAGCUCAUUCAGUGGCUCCUGGGCUUGGAGAAUACUCUGAUCGCAUUAAAGAAGGAAGAGUUACCGAUGGAUAUUUCCGCGACCGAGCAGCUUAUUGCGGACCACAAGGAGUUUAUGGAGAACACCCAGAGGAGACAAGCGGAAGUCGAUAAGGUUUGCAAGGCUAAGCAGGUGAAAAUUGUUCAGCCUGGGAAGGAUCCCAGGAAGUUCGGCAAAGGAAAAGGACCCAUUCGCGGCUCUCAGCACGACUUACACGAGACUUCUUCAGAACACGGCACCCUUGGGCGUAAGCAAAGCUUCAAAGGAUCAAGAGAUUUAUUAUCGCAACGUGGAAGUCGCGUCAGUCCUGGAAGAGAGCUCAGUCCCGAUCCCGGUUAUCCUCACAUCGGGCCCAGGUUCCCACCUGCUGGAAGCGAACCCGAAUUCCGUUCGCCACGUGUCAAAUUCCUAUACGACAAGUGGCGUCACGUGUGGGUACUGUCAUGGGAAAGACAGCGUGAACUCUACGACCAUUUGGCUUAUCUGAAAGAAAAAGAAAAGGCGGACAACUUCUCAUGGGAUGACUGGAGGAAACGCUUCUUGAAGUUCAUGAACUACAAGAAGUCCAGGUUAACAGAUCUCUUUAGGAAAAUGGACAAGGACAACAAUGAGCUGAUCCCCAGAGAAGAUUUUAUCGAUGGAAUUAUUAAAACCAAAUUCGACACUUCAAGGUUAGAAAUGAAACACGUAGCAGACAUGUUCGACGAGAACAACCGCGGACUGAUCGACUGGAAGAAGUUCAUCGCCGCCCUCAGACCCGAUUGGGAAGAAAAAGCUCCGGAUCAUGACGCCCAGAAAAUACACGACGAGGUCAAGAGGUUGGUCAUGUUGUGUACCUGCAGGCAAAAGUUCCGGGUAUUCCAAGUCGGUGAAGGAAAAUACAGGUUUGGCGACAGUCAGAAGCUUCGUUUGGUACGAAUUCUGCGUAGUACCGUUAUGGUACGUGUAGGCGGAGGCUGGGUUGCCUUAGAUGAAUUCCUUUUGAAGAACGAUCCGUGCAGAGCUAAGGGCCGCACUAACAUUGAGCUGCGCGAGCAAUUCAUCCUGGCCGACGGCGUGUCGCAGACGAUGACCGCAUUUAAGAGCAAAAGGUCGUCAGCCAGCCCGGUAUCUGGUUCUUCAAGCAGUUCGCUGCGUACACCCCAAGGCCCCAUCACCAAGGUAAGAGAACGCUCCCAACGUUCCGUGCCAAUGGGCAGUCUUCCAAGAACCUCCAAGUCUUCUCUGUCAGCCGGCACACCGGAUUCGCUUAGCGACAACGAAAGUGGAUUUAGAACCCCGAGGAAACCAAGUUACAGGUCCAAUCUGACCCCUGGUGGAUCGCGAAGCAACUCUAGGCCGGCUUCUCGUACGGGCAGUCGUCCGGGAAGCAAACCACCUUCCAGGCACGGAUCUAACUUGAGUUUGGAUAGUACUGAUGAUACCCCAUCAAGAAUACCAAGAAGGACACCAACCACAUCUGGCAGAAGCUCAGCAACCCUUUCCUCUGCCAGGAAAACUGCUGUUAAUGGCACUGGAUCAAGACCAAGAACACCAAGUGGCUUGAGGUCGCCUGCUAGUCCGGCUCUAAGCCGACGAAAAUUGUAAGAAACAGUACCGGAUAGUGAAGUUUUUUCUUGUUGUAAUUUUAAGGAGCGCGAGUUCCGGCAAAGUUAGGCAAGUGACCAUUGGCGUCGCCCCUACAUUAAGGACAGCAUCUAGAACCCGAACACCAUCAGGCUCAAACACCCCCGUUCAUCCCGAACAGGCGACUGCAGUGUCUCGCUUACUAAGAAAAAAUU
rnacentral:misc_RNA from 1 species